GCAGUCCAAGAAUAUUAGUCAAUGCUCGCAAGAGUGAACGAGCUAACUGAAAGAAUAUACAAUCUAAAGUUAGGAAUCUUAUAAUUUAUAUUAUAAGUUUAAAGACGAAUCUAACUAAUAGUGUCGUCCAAAUUCUGGUGCCAGAAGACUCGGUAAUACCAGAGACGCGAACGUUAAUCAUCUUGAAUGGGCAUAAAGGGUUUGUAGGCGGCUUAUUUAUUAAUAGGCUAGAAUCUUAGAGAGGUUAAUAAAAUACUUAGAGGAGGGCUGAUAUCCAUAUAUCCUAAGUGGAAUCCUAAUUGCGAAGGCCAUUUUCCACUACAGAUUGACGCUGAGAAACGAAGGUUAGGAUAGGAACUAGGAUUAGAGACCCUAUUACCCCUAACUGUAAACGAUGAAUGGAAGAUAUUUACAAUUGUAAGUGUCGAAGUGAAUACGAUAACCAUUCCGCCUUGCCAGUAUACUUGCAAAAGUGAAAACAAAAAAAUUAGUCGGUCCUAAAG
rnacentral:rRNA from 1 species